CCCUUAGAUGUCCGGGGCCGUACGCGCGCUACACUGAAGGAAUCAGCGUGGCUUUCUCCCUGACCCGAAAGGGUUGGGAAACCCGUCGAAUCUCCUUCGUGAUAGGGAUUGGGGCUUGAAAUUGUUCCCCAUGAACGAGGAAUUCCCAGUAAGCGCGAGUCAUAAGCUCGCGUUGAUUACGUCCCUGCCCUUUGUACACACCGCCCGUCGCUACUACCGAUUGAACGGUUUAGUGAGGGCCUCGGAUUGGUCUCGGCCCGCUCUUUACCGGGCGGCGCCGUUGGUCGAGAAGACGCUCGAACUUGAUCGUUUAGAGGAAGUAAAAGUCGUAACA
rnacentral:rRNA from 1 species